CCAACAUGAUGACGCUUUGGUUCCUGCGAUUCACGUCGUGGGUGAAGAGGGAAGCCGGUGCAAAUCCGGCGCUGCCCCCGCAACUGUAAGCGGCAAGCCGAGGUCCGAUGCCACUGGUGCGACAUGCGCCGGGAAGGCGGACCGGAGGCGUUCGAGCCGCGAGCCAGGAGACCUGCCAGAGCAUGAUAGACGAC
rnacentral:ncRNA from 1 species